GACGAACGCUGGCGGCGUGCUUAACACAUGCAAGUCGAACGGAAAGGCCCUGCUUUUGUGGGGUGCUCGAGUGGCGAACGGGUGAGUAACACGCGAGUAACCUGCCCUUGACUUUGGGAUAACUUCAGGAAACUGGGGCUAAUACCGGAUAGGAGCUCCUGCUGCACGGUGGGGGUUGGAAAGAUUCGGCGGUUGGGGAUGGACUCGCGGCUUAUCAGCUUGUUGGUGGGGUAGUGGCUUACCAAGGCUUUGACGGGUAGCCGGCCUGGGAGGGUGACCGGCGACAUUGGGACUGAGAUACGGCCCAGACUCGUACGUGAGGCAGCAGUGGGGAAUAUUGCGCAGUGGGCGGAAGCCUGAGACAGCAACGCCGCGUGCGGGAUGACGGCCUUCGGGUUGUAAACCGCUUUCGCCUGUGACGAAGCGUGAGUGACGGUAAUGGGUAAAGAAGCACCGGCUAACUACGUG
rnacentral:rRNA from 1 species